CCCUUAGAUGUUCUGGGCUGCACACGUGCUACACUGGCAGGUUCAGCGAGCUUCAUGCCCUGAUCUGAAAGGAAUGGGAAAUCUUUUCAAAACCUGCCGUGCUUGGGAUAGAUGUUUGCAAUUAUUCAUCUUCAACGAGGAUUGCCUCGUAAGCGCACGUCAUCAGCGUGCAUUGAAUACGACCCUGUAUUCUGUACACACCGCCCGUCGCUCCUACCGAUUGAAGUUUUCGGUGAGUUGACAGGAGGAUUUUUUUGAAACUGGUUCGCCAGUGGAUUUUAGAUCCAAAUGCCAACGAAUCGAUGGCUUUAGAGGAAGGAGAAGUCGUAACA
rnacentral:rRNA from 1 species